GGUAUCCUGUGUUGCUUACCCCUGGAGAGGAAUUUGAUGGAUUUGGUGUCCCCAUCCGCCUUGCGCCCUUCUGGGUGCGGGGUGGACGCGAGUCGGGCUCCGUGUUCCCCGCGUGUCGAGUGCGUUGACGCUCGGCCGCUGUGGCCCAUGGGGUCUCGGCCGUGCUCUCGGAUGCGGAAUGCUGUGUGUGGGCGUGGGGUCUCGGCCUCUGCUCGUCCAAGCUGCACGCAUUGUCCCUUGACAUGAACGACCGCCUCGCCCGUCUUGACCGGCUGACCGAGCCCCCGUCGCGGGGCUUUGGGAGGGCGGCUCAUGC
rnacentral:misc_RNA from 1 species